rnacentral:rRNA from 1 species
UGCAUGAAGCUGGAAUCGCUAGUAAUCGCGAAUCAGAAUGUCGCGGUGAAUACGUUCCCGGGUCUUGUACACACCGCCCGUCACACCAUGGGAGUUGGAAGCGCCCGAAGUCUGUGACCUAACCGUAAGGGAGGAGCAGCCGAAGGUGAAGCCAGUGACUGGGGUGAAGUCGUAACAAGGUAUC